AAGCUUCUUCUCCACCUCAAGCUCCUGCGUUAAGCUCAUCAUGGUCGCGCGAAUCUUCUCUCUUUCUCUUCUUUUCCAAGCACUAUUUUCUUCUGCAAAAUGCUUCAUGAGAUACUCAAUAUCGGUCUGGUUCGAGCUUUGUUCUUCGAUGAAUCCAUCAAUUUGGUUGCGAACGCGAUCAAGCUCAUUGCUCAUGCCUAAGAUGAGAGAUUUUUUGUCUGACACGAGGACAUCAUGGAAAUUGUGAGGGCGAAAUUCAGGGAGAAGAUAUCUGAUUUAUUGCAUGAAAUAUAUAUAUGAUGAUGAUGAUUCUAAUUAAAGCUUGCAAUUGUUAUUUGGAAUUAUGGUAAGAUGAUUAUGAUGUGUGUAGAAUGUAUUUUAUAAAAUGAUUCCAAGACAACUACUAUAAAUGGUUUUAUAGUGUUACUAUGGUUAUGCCGCAAAUCUUUAUAUUUUAAGAAUAUCAAGGUAAAUGCAACUUAUGCGGAUUUUAAAAUCUGCAACAAUGUAGUCGCAAUUGCAGUUGCAGAUUACAAUUGAAUAAUUAUUAGUAUUA